rnacentral:rRNA from 1 species
UACGUAGGGUGCAAGCGUUAAUCGGAAUUACUGGGCGUAAAGCGUGCGCAGGCGGUGAUGUAAGACAGGUGUGAAAUCCCCGGGCUUAACCUGGGAACUGCAUUUGUGACUGCAUCGCUGGAGUGCGGCAGAGGGGGAUGGAAUUCCGCGUGUAGCAGUGAAAUGCGUAGAUAUGUGGAGGAACACCGAUGGCGAGGGCGGCAUCCUGGACCGAGAUUGACGCUGAUGAGCGAAAGCUAGGGGAGCAAACGGG